CGAAAGCUUGCUUUUGCCGGAGACUGGCGGACGGGUGAGUAACGCGUAGAUAACCUGCCUUUAGCUGGGGGAUAACACUGCGAAAGUGGUGCUAAUACCGCGUAAUGCAGCGGGGCCGCAUGGCCACAGUUGUUAAAGCCUUCGGGCGGCUAAAGAUGGGUCUGCGUGCUAUUAGCUAGUUGGUAAGGUAACGGCUUACCAAGGCGAUGAUAGCUAGGGGGUCUGAGAGGAUGAUCCCCCACACUGGGACUGAGACACGGCCCAGACUCCUACGGGAGGCAGCAGUGAGGAAUCUUGCGCAAUGGGCGAAAGCCUGACGCAGCCACGCCGCGUGCCGGAAGACGGCCCUAUGGGUUGUAAACGGCUUUUGGGCAGGAAGAACGCCUGGGUUUCGACCUGGGGUGACGGUACUGCCUGAAUAAGCACCGGCUAACUCCGUGCCAGCAGCCGCGGUAAUACGGAGGGUGCAAGCGUUGUCCGGAAUCAUUGGGUGUAAAGGGUGCGUAGGCGGGCGCUUAAGUCUGGGGUGAAAUCUUGCCGCUUAACGGUAAAAUGGCCCUGGAUACUGGGUGUCUUGAGUGUAGAAGAGGCAGGUGGAAUUCG
rnacentral:rRNA from 1 species